rnacentral:lncRNA from 1 species
GCCUCACCUGCACCCAUCACCCAGCGUCCUCCUGCCACCUCUUGCUCUAGCUGUCAUGCAUGCGUCUUCCAUGCCUUCCCGAAUCCAGUCCGGGUGUCAAGAGAGACCCCAGAUCUCUACAGGCUGAUGCUUAAGGAUGCUGAAUGCUGUGGGCGUGGGCAGAUUUUGUGGGGCUGGAAGACACCAGCCCCUCCCCAGCACUUGGAGAACCCCAGCUUGGGCGACUCUAUCCAGACACCUUGACUGCACUCUUGGCGACAAGAACUGAUUUGGAACAGAAGUGGCCUAGAUUGGAUGGUGCCUUCACUCAACAUGGAAGAACUUUAAAACUGCCUGCCCUCCCUCUCCAGCUUUGCCAGCAGGAACUCCAAGCUGACCUCCACCUUCUGCCCCCAGCACCUUGCACACAGUCAGUGUUUUCCCAGGAAUCUGAAGGACGCCACAGACACAGCCUUAGCUGUAAUGUGAACCUCUUAGGUCGUUUACAAGACUCCCCAACAUCAAUGAUGUUUUUUUUUUGUACUUGUUCUAUUUCUGACUCUAGAAUAGUCCCAGCACCUGUUCUGUCUGAUGAAAUAA